UGUCUGUGUGAAUCGAACCCACGACCUUCCGCUUACCGGGCAGAUGCCAUGACCACUAGGCCAC
rnacentral:tRNA from 1 species